GCCAACUUAGCUCAGUUGGUAGAGCAGCUGAUUUGUAAUCAGCAGGUCGUGGGUUCGAGUCCCACAAUUGGCUCCA
rnacentral:tRNA from 1 species